GACGAACCGUGCGAACGUUGUUCGGAAUCACUGGGCUUAAAGGGCGCGUAGGCGGUCUGCCAAGUCUGGGGUGAAAUCCUCCGGCUCAACCGGAGAACGGCCUCGGAUACUGGCGGUCUCGAGGGAGGUAGGGGCGUGCGGAACUAAGGGUGGAGCGGUGAAAUGCGUUGAUAUCCUUAGGAACUCCGGUGGCGAAGGCGGCACGCUGGACCUCUUCUGACGCUGAGGCGCGAAGGCCAGGGGAGCAAACGGG
rnacentral:rRNA from 1 species